UACGUAGGGGGCGAGCGUUGUCCGGAUUUAUUGGGCGUAAAGAGCUCGUAGGCGGCUUGGCAAGUCGGGUGUGAAACCUCCAGCUCAACCUGGAGACGCCACUCGAUACUGCCAUGGCUAGAGUCCGGUAGGGGACCACGGAAUUCCUGGUGUAGCGGUGAAAUGACGCAGAUAUCAGGAGGAACACCGGUGGCGAAGGCGGUGGUCUGGGCCGGCACUGACGCUGAGGAGCGAAAGCGUGGGUAGCAAACAGG
rnacentral:rRNA from 1 species